GUGUCAGCAGCCGCGGUAAUACGUAGGUGGCAAGCGUUGUCCGGAAUUAUUGGGCGUAAAGCGCGCGCAGGUGGUUUCUUAAGUCUGAUGUGAAAGCCCACGGCUUAACCGCGGAGGGUCAUUGGAAACUGGGAGACUUGAGUGCAGAAGAGGAAAGUGGAAUUCCACGUGUAGCGGUGAAAGGCGUAGGGAUGUGAAGGAAAACCAGUGGCGAAGGCGACUUUCUGGUCUGCAACUGACGCUGAGGCGCGAAAGCGUGGGGAGCAAACAGGAUUAGAUACCCUGGUAGUCCAUGCCGUAAACGAUGAGUGCUAAGUGUUAGGGGGGUCCCGCCCCUUAGUGCUGCAGCUAACGCAUUAAGCACUCCGCCUGGGGAGUACGACCGCAAGGUUGAAACUUAAAGGGAUUGGCGG
rnacentral:rRNA from 1 species